GACGAACGCUGGCGGCGUGCUUAACACAUGCAAGUCGAACGGAAAGGCCCUGCUUUUGUGGGGUGCUCGAGUGGCGAACGGGUGAGUAACACGUGAGUAACCUGCCCUUGACUUUGGGAUAACUUCAGGAGACUGGGGCUAAUACCGGAUAGGAGCUCCUGCUGCAUGGUGGGGGUUGGAAAGUUUCGGCGGUUGGGGAUGGACUCGCGGCUUAUCAGCUUGUUGGUGGGGUAGUGGCUUACCAAGGCUUUGACGGGUAGCCGGCCUGAGAGGGUGACCGGCCACAUUGGGCCUGAGGUACGGCCCGGACUCCUACGGGAGGCAGCAGUGGGGAAUAUUGCACAAUGGGCGGAGGCCUGAUGCAGCAACGCCGCGUGCGGGAUGACGGCCUUCGGGUUGUAAACCGCUUUCGCCUGUGACGAAGCGUGAGUGACGGUAAUGGGUAAAGAAGCACCGGCUAACUACGU
rnacentral:rRNA from 1 species